rnacentral:lncRNA from 1 species
AAAAAGACAGAGGAUAUAGGUUUUUGGCUUCUGAGACUCUUAUGUGUUUCUUCCAUGUUAGAUCAGAAUUCCUCUGUUGUAGGCAUCUGACAUUCAAAUUGUGUUAUAUUCAUGUACAGCUCAUAUUCUCCCUGGCUAGAUAUGAAGAAGUCAUUGAUGCUUACUUGGAUGGCCUUGAGGCUUCUGGGCUGAGUGACCUUUCCAGAGUUACAAGUGUUGCAUCCUUUUUCGUUAGUCGAGUAGACACCCUUAUUGACAAAAUGCUUGAAAAGAUUGGAACCCCAGAAGCCCU